rnacentral:rRNA from 1 species
UACUAGAGUAGCACUCGCAUAUCAAUAAGCGGAGGAAAAGAAACUAACAAGGAUUCCCCUAGUAACGGCGAGUGAAGCGGGAAGAGCUCAAAUUUGAAAUCUUAAAGGGUUUCCCUUUACGAAUUGUAGUUUAAAGAAGUGUUUUCUGUUGAGGUUUUGGUAAAAGUUCUUUGGAAUAGGACAUCAUAGAGGGUGAGAAUCCCGUAUUUGACCUUUACUUUCAACUUUGUGAUACACUUUCAAAGAGUCGGAUUGUUUGGGAAUGCAGUCCAAAAUGGGUGGUAAAUUUCAUCUAAAGCUAAAUAUUGGCGAGAGACCGAUAGCGAACAAGUACCGUGAGGGAAAGAUGAAAAGAACUUUGAAAAGAGAGUUAAACAGUACGUGAAAUUGUCAAAAGGGAAGCGUUUGACACCAGCGUUGUUUUUCUGAAAAUCAAUUAAAGAACUGUUCAUGCUAAGCUGUUUAGACUUUAUCAGCUAUCUGUUUAGUUUUGAGCUUUUCUUUAAUGCACUUUUCAGUUAACAAGUCAACAUCAAUUUCUUUUGCUGUAAAAAAGCUUGAGGAAGGUGGCUUGAGAUUCGUCUUAAGUGUUUAUAGCCUCUUGCCUAUGCAGUCGGAGAGAUUGAGGUCUGCAGCGUAGAUCCUUCGGGGCUAAAUGCAUUUGUGCUAAGUUAUAGCAUUUCAUAGACAACUUGUUGACUAUGAUUUGUCUUGUAGCUUACUCGCUUAUGUUAUUUUACCUACGCUUAGGAUGUUGAGCGCAUGUCUCUCUCU